CGCGUAAGCGGCCGAUUAAGUUUGGAGUGAAAGUCCUGCUUUCAAGGUGGGAAUUGCUUUGAAAACUGGUUGGCUUGAGUGCGGAAGAGGCAAGUGGAAUUCCCAGUGUAGCGGUGAAAUGCGUAGAGAUUGGGAGGAACACCAGUGGCGAAGGCGACUUGCUGGGCCGUAACUGACGCUGAUGCGCGAAAGCGUGGGGAGCGAACA
rnacentral:rRNA from 1 species